ACAAACUUGGUCAUUUAGAGGAAGUAAAAGUCGUAACAAGGUUUCCGUAGGUGAACCUGCGGAAGGAUCAUUAAAGAGUUAGGGUCCUCUGGGCCCGACCUCCCAACCCUUUGUUUACUGAACCUCUGUUGCUUCGGCGGACCCGUCUCACGACCGCCGGAGGAUCGCCCGUCCAGGCGUCCUCUGGCCAGCGUCCGCCGAUAGCCAACCCUUCAAACUCCUGAAUAAAUCAUGUUAUAUGUCUAAGUCUUAUGAUUCAAAUCAAUAAAGCAAAACUUUCAACAACGGAUCUCUUGGUUCUGGCAUCGAUGAAGAACGCAGC
rnacentral:misc_RNA from 1 species